UCUGCACCAACGUAAAGAGAGGCAACAUAAGAGGAGGUUUGAUGAUAGCUUUCCGAUUGAUUCUAGACAAGUAAGAACAGAGCUGCAACGGUUCAAAGAAAGUUAGUCCCAAACUCUGUUGAUAAGGAAGAUGGAGAUUCUCAAUCUAUCCUAUCUGACUCCCAAAGAACUAUAUCUCUCUUUAGCUAGACGUACAAUCAUGUGGUGAUCCAGAUUCCGUGCAGACAAUAGCUGGAAGUACAAUGUUGCAAUUUGCAAAAACUAACAAGUUGUCUAUACAACUUGAGCAAGUAUGUUUGACUUUCUUUUGUCGCUCUACCCAUCUCUUCUUCCAUUUUCAUUUAACUACAUAGGUUCAUUCUUUGGAAUUUUUCAAAUUGUUUUCUCUUCCAGCCGUAGCCUCCUUGAGAAGAGACAGUUCUUCCACUCUCAUCGAGCUCAGGUGAUCUAUUUUUUUUAGCUCUCUUGCAAUUGAUUGCUGAUGAUGUGUAUUAUCACAGCCCAUGGCUCUAGAACAAGUACUUUCUGACCGAGAUAGUUGAAGAUACAAGGAUGCUCGAUGAUUUCGUUGAUGUGACCAAGGAUGAGAAGCAGAUGAUGCACAUGUGGAACUCGUUUGUGAGGAAGCAGCGAAGUCCUUGUUCUGCACCUCCUUCUUCUCAGGCCGUAGGUUGAGUGGAACGUGUAUAGGAUCUUCCGUUCUUUGAAUUCUUGGUUGAAAAAGGCAUAAAUUUUUCUUCUCACAUUCCAUGGGCAUGUGAGGCAUUCUCAAAAUUACAUGGACCCAUCAUUGUUCGAACACCGAGCUUGAUUUGGUGCUGGAGAGUGUUUAUGGUGAAACUAUGAAACUAUGAUGCCCGGACCAUGAACAACUGUAAUAUUAUUCUCGAAAAGCUCCAAAAUUCCAUUAAUUCAAGUAGAAAAAACCAAAGAGAAAGGACAAAGGACAGGAGUUUUGGGUUUCAUUUUUCUUCUUUUAAUAUAAAUGUGUACAUUGGCUCCUCAUCUUUGACGUUUGUUAUUCGAGUAAUGCUAAAAAAACAGGAUUGUAACAACAAAAAGGAAUAAUAAAACUGGUUAUAAACUAAGUAAA